CCGUCUAUAUACGUAUAGCAUAUCAAUAAGCGGAGGAAAAGAAACUAACUAGGAUUCCCUUAGUAACGGCGAGUGAAGCGGGAAGAGCUCAAAUUUGAAAUCUUCAAGGUUCUACCUUGACGAAUUGUAGUUUAAAGAAGUGUUUUCUGUUGGAGUUUUGGUAAAAGUUCCUUGGAAUAGGACAUCAUAGAGGGUGAGAAUCCCGUAUUUGACCAUUAUCUUCCAACUGUGUGAUACACUUUCAAAGAGUCGGAUUGUUUGGGAAUGCAGUCCAAAAUGGGUGGUAAAUUUCAUCUAAAGCUAAAUACUGGCGAGAGACCGAUAGCGAACAAGUACCGUGAGGGAAAGAUGAAAAGAACUUUGAAAAGAGAGUUAAACAGUACGUGAAAUUGUCAAAAGGGAAGCGUUUGACACCAGUGUUGUUUUCUCGAAAAUCAAUUAAAAAUGGCAGGAUUUUGUGUUGUAUUGACUUUAUCAGCUUCUGCACUUUUUUCUUGUCUUUUUUAAUGCACUUUUCGUUUAACAAGUCAACAUCAAUUUCUUUUGCUGUAAAAGGGUCAUUGGAAGGUGGCUUUCUUUUCGGAGAAAGUGUUUAUAGCCUUUGACUUCUGCAAUCGGAGAGAUUGAGGUCUGCAGCGUAGAUCCUUCGGGGUUAGAUGCAUUUGUGCUAAGUUAUAGCUUUUCAUAGACAACAUGUUGACUAUGAUUAAGUCAUGUAGCUUACUCGCUUAUGCUAUUUUACCUACGCUUAGGAUGUUGACGAUCAGCUGAGCGCG
rnacentral:rRNA from 1 species